rnacentral:pre_miRNA from 1 species
UUUAGAAUGCACUUUCAGACUUGAAGUCGGUUGGUAGCUUUAAUAACAUUUUGGAUCUGUAUUUAAGCUUGCAACCGACUGCAACUCUUCGAGGCAA